rnacentral:misc_RNA from 1 species
UGGCCAGGGAACAAGUUUAUAAGAGGAGCAAACUCAGGAUCCUGUCGGAACCCCAUUUUAGCAGCAAGCUCCUGAGCACGUUUAACAGCUUCAAUAUUGGGUAUACUAGCAAGCCCAGGAAGAGAUUCCAUACCACUUGCAGGUGGCUUCCCAGUAGCCAAUGAACUUGACAUUGUCCCUGCUGAAGUAAUAGUGGGUAUGGGUGGAUUUACCCCUUGUACUGCACCAGUACCAGAAGACUGUACUUUCAGUUCCUCCUUUACUAAGGGUGGUGCCCUAUUAUCUGAACUUGAGCUAGCACCCUUGCUCAAAAGUGGUAUCUUUUUCAGCUUCUCUGAAAGUUCCUUCUGCAUCUGUAAAGCUUUUUUAGCUUUUGCUAAAGCAACAAGGGAUAGACUUCCACUUUUUCCAGCAGCUGAAGAUGUCCCAUCUUGGUAGGAAGAGGAUGAACAGGCCCCAUUGAAUUCUCAGGCACAAAGCUUGAUGUCUUAGUGAAUGAGUCCAGGGCAGCACCCUCACAUGGCCACCAAUACUGUCCUCGCUAUUCUACUACCACCUAAUCGAAGGACACUACCAUAAGCCAAUUCAACCAAACAAAAAAAGCAACAAGAGAAGGAAGAAAAAAGUUAGAAAUGUAACUCAAGCUUCUAUGUCUACUAUACCAAAAAUCCAAUUCAAACAACCAAAAACAUACCAUUACAAAAAAAAAUCUUUGUCCCAUUAUCUUAACAUAAACAAUAACAGUAUGUGCAAUAAACAUAGAACAGCAAAUAAAAAUUUAGGAGAUAUAUUAAUAAUUAAAACACAUCCAAAACAAAGAUGACCUAGCAGCAAACUCAGAUUGAGAAAACUCACAUUGUCAGUUGCAAGGCCGCCAUUGGCAGUACUACCACCAGUUGGCUCAUCAUUCACUUCUUCUUUCACCAUAAUCUUACUUGAUUCCACUCUCUUUGCAUUUUCAAUACUAAUAUUAUUAUCAUUCUUAUCAGUAACAUCCUCUUCUUUCACUUUAUCCUCAAAUCUCCUCCUCUCU